rnacentral:rRNA from 1 species
UGGGCGUAAAGAGGCUGGUAGGUGGCCCGUAUAAGUUGGACGUGAAAACUCCGGGGCUUAACUUGGAGAGGCCGUUCAAGACUGUAGGGCUGGAGGGUGUCAGAGGGAAGUAGAAUUCCUGGUGUAGCAGUGAAAUGCGUAGAUAUCAGGAGGAAUACCCGUGGCGCAGGCGGCUUCCUGGGGCACACCUGACACUGAGAAGCGACAGCUAGGGGAGCAAACGGGAUUAGAAACCCCGGUAGUCCUAGCCGUAAACGAUGGAUGCUAGGUGUGAGCAGCUCUAACCCUGCUCGUGCCGAAGCUAACGCGUUAAGCAUCCCGCCUGGGAACUACGAGCGCAAGCUUAAAACUCAAAGGAAUUGACGGGGACCCGCACAAGCAGCGGAGCGUGUGGUUUAAUUCGAUGCUACACGAAGAACCUCACCCAGGUUUGACAUGGCGGUGGUAGGGAAGCGAAAGCGGACCGACCCGCAAGGGAGCCGUCACAGGUGUUGCAUGGCUGUCGUCAGCUCGUGUCGUGAGAUGUUGGUUUAAGUACCCUAACGAGCGCAACCCUCGUUGCCAGUUACAGGUGUCUGGCGAGACUGCCGGCCGCAAGCCGGAGGAAGGCGGGGAUGAUGUCAAGUCAGCAUGGCCUUUAUAUCUGGGGCUACACACACGCUACAAUGGGUCGCCACAAUGGGUUGCCAAACCGCGAGGCGGAGCCAAUCCCACAAAACGGCCCACAGUUCAGAUUGCAGGCUGCAACCCGCCUGCAUGAAGUCGGAGUUGCUAGUAAACGCGCGUCAGCUAUAGUGCGUUGAAUACGUUCCCGGGUCUUGUACACACCGCCCGUCACACUAUGGGAGCUGGCAACACCUGAAGCCAGUAGCGUAACCGCAAGGAGCGCGCUGUCAAAGGUGGGGCUGGUGACUGGAGUGAAGUCGUAACAAGGUAGCUGUACGGGAACGUGCGGCUGGAUCACCUCCUU